CAUUACUUCUAAAGGUAGUGGCUUUUAUUUAAGCUGCAUUAUCAUCUACUUCGACUUUUUCCAUCUGACUCUUCUAUGUUUUCGCUGGUGCAGGUGGUAGCCAUCAGAAAGUUGAGACACCUGCAAAGUUUUACAGAAGGGUAAUUGUUAUUUUAUUUACUUAAAGUUCAAAAUCUGGAUGCAACAUAUACAUUUCUGGGGGAAUAUCCUGCCUGAGUAUUUUGUUAUCUUAAAAAAUUUAGCAACUAAGGGAGAAAAGGCGUGAGAUGCGAGCAAAUGAGCUGGUCAAGCGCAACGAUGACACGAUUCUAAAGCUGGAAAAUGCGG
rnacentral:lncRNA from 1 species